rnacentral:rRNA from 1 species
AUUGAACGCUGGCGGCAUGCCUUACACAUGCAAGUCGAACGGUAACGGGCCUUCGGGUGCCGACGAGUGGCGAACGGGUGAGUAAUAUAUCGGAACGUACCUUUCAGUGGGGGAUAACGUAGCGAAAGUUACGCUAAUACCGCAUAUUCUGUGCGCAGGAAAGCAGGGGACCUUCGGGCCUUGCGCUGAUUGAGCGGCCGAUAUCAGAUUAGCUAGUUGGUGAGGUAAAGGCUCACCAAGGCGACGAUCUGUAGCGGGUCUGAGAGGAUGAUCCGCCACACUGGAACUGAGACACGGUCCAGACUCCUACGGGAGGCAGCAGUGGGGAAUUUUGGACAAUGGGGGCAACCCUGAUCCAGCCAUGCCGCGUGGGUGAAGAAGGCCUUCGGGUUGUAAAGCUCUUUCGGCCGGGAAGAAAUCGUAUGGGCUAAUACCCUGUGCGGAUGACGGUACCGGCAUAAGAAGCACCGGCUAACUACGUGCCAGCCGCCGCGGUAAUAC